AAAACCUAUCCCACUAUCCCCUCGUCGAACCCACAACGUGAAACAAUUAAUUCCUUUCGACUUCACAGCCUUCUCAUCAUCAUCUCUGGCUUCGUCGAUCCGUUGAACAUAAAAUAAGCCAAUGUCUUUAGCUUUGAAAUAUUACCGACUGCAUAAACCCUUUAUUCUUGCCGAUUUCAUUGUCGUUGGAACUAGUACCGAUUGCAUAGGGUUUUGACAAAG
rnacentral:lncRNA from 1 species